rnacentral:rRNA from 1 species
AGGACAUGUGCAUCCCUUGUGAAAUCGUACCGCUCAACGGUAUGGCACGCAGGGGACACGGCAUGUCUCGGGAAUGGGAGAAGUCAGAGGUAUUCGAGGGGGACCGGUAAAAUGGUAUAAUCCCUCGAGGACCACCGACGGCGAAAGCAUCUGACUAGAACAUGUCCGACUGUGAGGGACGAAAGCCAGGGGAGCGAACCGGAUUAGAUACCCGAGUAGUCCUGGCCGUAAACGCUGCGAGCUAGGCGUUGCAUGACUCAUGUGGUUGUGCAGUGUCGAAGCGAAGGCAAUAAGCUCGCCGCCUGGGUA